AAUGAACGUUGGCGGCGUGGAUUAGGCAUGCAAGUCGAGCGAGAACCCGCAAGGGGGACAGCGGCGAACGGGGUAGGAAUACGUAGGUAACGUACCCUCGGGGCGAGGACAGCCACGGGAAACUGUGGGUAAUACUCGAUAAACUUCCCAAUCAUUAUCGGAGGGGAAGCAAUGGGUGUGAUUCCACCUGAGGAGCGGCUUACGCAGUAUCAGCUAGUUGGUGAGGUAACGGCUCACCAAGGCUACGACGCUUAGGGGGUGUGAGAGCAUGGCCCCCACCACUGGCACUGAGACACUGGCCAGACACCUACGGGUGGCUGCAGUCGAGAAUCUUCGGCAAUGGACGCAAGUCUGACCGAGCGACGCCGCGUGUGGGAUGAAGGCCUGGGUUGUAACCACUGUCAGAGGGGAUGAAGUAUACGAGAGUUAUCUCUUGUAUUUGACAGAGCCUCAGAGGAAGCACGGGCUAAGUUCGUGCCAGC
rnacentral:rRNA from 1 species